CCUGGCUCAGGAUGAACGCUGGCGGCGUGCUUAACACAUGCAAGUCGAACGGAGCUUUUUUGAAGGAGACUUCGGUCAACGGAGAUUCAAGCUUAGUGGCGGACGGUGAGUAACGCGUGAGUAACCUGCCUUUCAGAGGGGAUAACGUGUGGAAACGAACGCUAAUACCGCAUAAAACAGCAGUAUCGCAUGAUACAACUGUCAAAGAUUUUAUCGCUGAAAGAUGGACUCGCGUCCGAUUAGGCAGUUGGCGGGGUAACGGCCCACCAAACCGACGAUCGGUAGCCGGACUGAGAGGUUGAACGGCCACAUUGGGACUGAGACACGGCCCAGACUCCUACGGGAGGCAGCAGUGGGGAAUAUUGCACAAUGGGCGCAAGCCUGAUGCAGCAACGCCGCGUGAGGGAAGACGGUUUUCGGAUUGUAAACCUCUGUUCUUAGUGACGAAGAAGUGACGGUAGCUAAGGAGCAAGCCACGGCUAACUACGUGCCAGCCGCGGC
rnacentral:rRNA from 1 species